AAACCAGCACCUCAAGUGGUCAGGAUGAUUAUUGGGCCUAAAGCAUCCGUAGCCUGAUCUGUAAGUUUUCGGUUAAAUCUGUACGCUCAACGUACAGGCUGCCGGGAAUACUGCAGAGCUAGGGAGUGGGAGAGGUAGACGGUACUCGGGAGGAAGUGGUAAAAUGCUUUGAUCUCUCGAUGACCACCUGUGGCGAAGGCGGUCUACCAGAACACGUCCGACGGUGAGGGAUGAAAGCUGGGGGAGCAAACCGGAUUAGAAACCCUAGUAGUCC
rnacentral:rRNA from 1 species